rnacentral:rRNA from 1 species
UGGGGAAUAUUGCACAAUGGGCGAAAGCCUGAUGCAGCAACGCCGCGUGAGUGAUGAAGGUCUUCGGAUUGUAAAGCUCUGUCUUUUGGGACGAUAAUGACGGUACCAAAGGAGGAAGCCACGGCUAACUACGUGCCAGCAGCCGCGGUAAUACGUAGGUGGCGAGCGUUGUCCGGAUUUACUGGGCGUAAAGGGUGCGUAGGCGGAUGUUUAAGUGAGAUGUGAAAUACCCGGGCUUAACUUGGGUGCUGCAUUUCAAACUGGAUAUCUAGAGUGCAGGAGAGGAGAAUGGAAUUCCUAGUGUAGCGUGAAAUGCGUAGAGAUUAGGAAGAACACCAGUGGCGAAGGCGAUUCUCUGGACUGUAACUGACGCUGAGGCACGAAAGCGUGGGUAGCAAACAGGAUUAGAUACCC